AAUAAGAGAAUGACAAAUCAGAUUUUUCUUCUUGAUUUUCAACUUUUUUCUCCUGAAAAAAUUCAAAUCCAACUAAAAAUGCUAAAAAUCAAGAAGAAAAACCUAAUUUGUCAUUCUCCUAUU
rfam:Gossypium raimondii Chr13_contig_76, whole genome shotgun sequence.